CUUGAUUAUUAACUUGUAAUACAUCCCUUAUGCAAGCUCAUUUGAAGCAUUUAAACUCCUUUUUAAUAUCAGAAUGUGUGUUUGAGUACGUGUGUAAAUAAAAUAACUGAUUAAUUAUCCUUAUGGGGAAUUAUGACAGGUCGAAAAGGUAAAACAAGAUGAUGCCCUCUCAGAUUUAAGUGAUAUUUUGGGAGAGCUGAAGGUUAUGGCUAUCGACAUGGGUUCUGAAAUUGAGUGGUGAGUUAUACUACUCCUUGUAAACUUCCGACUCUCCCCCCUCUCUCAUGUAGUAUUGAAUUCUAAAAUCCGAAGUAUUUACAAGAUAUGUCUUCUAACAUUGCAGGCAGAAGAAAGCGCUGGAUCCACUUCACGACGAUGUGGAGGAACUGGUUUUCCGAGUGAAUGGUGCUAAUCAGCGUGGGCGUCGUUUGCUUGGAAAAUAGAUAACACAAAUUUUAUAAAUCUGCGGUUUGUCAUUGGCUUAAUGAGACACUAUUGUCUGCAUUGAUUAUUUUCAUGCGUACAACUUUCUUAUAUUCGCUGUGUACACAUUGCUUGCGUGAUAUCUGGAGUAAAAUAAGUGGUACUAUAAUUUUCGGAAUAUACUGGAUUUACCUGGCUAGUAUGGAUUGAUUGCUAAUAAUUGUCGUUCAUAUGGUUUCUUCUGUGAGAGUGGAUUCUUUAGUGCAGUAUCAUCAUCAUCAAGAUCCAAACAUAUUCAGUGGAUAUAUGUUACGUUUUUCUUACUUUUAAGUAAAAAGAAUUGCUUAGUUUGGAAGCAAUUGACUCAGCAAGUUCUGGCUCAAAGAAGACUUUAACAAAUGUGAACUAGCAGCCAAAACCAAGCCAUUGUGAUCUUAGAUAAUGUCCCCUAGCCCGAUAAAACCACCAUCAGCUUGUACUGCACCAUCAAUAUUUAAUUCUGAAUAAUGCUAAUUGGUACUUGUAGUGUUAAAGUACUGAUUCAAAUGGUCAUACUAGAUAUGUUUAAUUAAAUGAAUCACGAG
rnacentral:lncRNA from 1 species